UUCCGUUUAUCCUGCGGACGAUCGCCGCUAUUAGGAUCCGAUUUAGCCAUGCAAGUUUUCCGCAAGGAAGCGAACUGCUCAGUAACAUAUCGAUAAUCUACCUUCAGGUUUGGGAUACCCUCGCGAAAGUGAGGCUAAACCCGGAUAAUGGAUUGAGGCUGGAACGCGCUUUCCAUCAAAAGCAAUGCCUGAAGAUGAGUCGAUAUCCGAUUAGGUUGUUGGUGGGGUAAUGGCCCACCAAGCCUGGGAUUGGUAAGGGCGUUGAGAGACGUAACCCUGAGAAGGGCACUGAGACACUGGCCCUAGCCCUACGGGGUGCAGCAGGCGCGAAACCUUUACACUACGCGCAAGCGUGAUAAGGGGAUCCUAAGUGCUCAUGCACUGCAUGGGCUUUUGCCAACGGUAAAUACGUUGGCGAAUAAGUGGUGGACAAGACUGGUGCCAGCCGCCGCGGUAACCCCAGCGCCACAAGUGGGGAUCGUAUUUAUUUGGCCUAAAGCGUCCGUAGCCGGACUAUCGAAUCUCUUGUGAAAUCGUUAAGCUUAACUUAACGGCGUGCAGGAGACACUAGUAGUCUAGGGACUGGGAGGUGUCAGAUGUAUGCUAAGGGGAGCAGUAAAAUGCUAUAAUCCUCAGUAGACAACCGGUGGCGAAGGCGUCUGACAAGAACAGGUCCGACGGUCAGGGACGAAAGCUAGGGGAGCAAAUUAGGAGACACUACGUCUUCUAAGCUAAGUCCGGAUUAGAUACCCGAGUAGUCCUAGCUGUAAACGCUGCGAGCAAGGUGUUGCAUAUUCUUCGUGGAUAUGCAGUGUCGAAGAGAAGUCGUUAAGCUCGCUGCCUGGGGAGUAUGGUCGCAAGACUGAAACUUAAAGGAAUUGGCGGGGGAGUACUACAAGGGGUGCGGCGUGCGGUUUAAUUUAAUUCAACGCAGCGAAUCUCACCAGGGGCGACGGCAGAAUGAAGGCCAGACUGAAGGUCUUGCCAGACAAGCCGAGAGAUGGUGCAUGGCCACCGGCAGCUCGUGCCGUGAGGUGUCGUGUUAAGUCACGCAACGAGCGAGACCUGCACACACAAUUGCUAACGGACUCUGAGACCGAGCACAUUGUGUGAACUGCCUUCGUAAGGAGGAGGAAGGCGCAGGCCACGGUAAGUCCGUACGCCUCGAAUCUCCUGGGCUACACGCGCGCAACAACGGCAGGAACAAUGGGAUGCAACACCGAAAGGUGAAGCUAACCCUCUAAAUCCUGUCCAAGUCCAGAUCGAGGGCUGUAACUCGCCCUCGUGACGAUGGAAUCCCUAGUAAUCAGACGUCAACAUCGUCUGGUGAACAUGUCCCUGCUCCUUGCACACACCGAAACAAUGUGCCAAGCAGCUAACAAAGCUAGAUGGUGAUG
rnacentral:rRNA from 1 species